rnacentral:rRNA from 1 species
AACGAACGCUAGCGGGAUGCCUCAAACAUGCAAGUCGCACGAGAAAGGUCCUUCGGGAACGAGUAAAGUGGCGCACGGGUGCGUAACACGUAGCUAACCUACCUCCUUGCUGGGGAUAACUCCGGGAAACCGGAGCUAAUACCGAAUAAUCUGAUACGGUCUGCGGGCUGUAUCGGUAAAGCCUUAGGGCGCGAGGAGAUGGGGCUGCGGUCCAUUAGCUUGAUGGUGGGGUAACGGCCCACCAUAGCGACGAUGGAUAGCUGGUCUGAGAGGAUGAUCAGCCACACUGGAACUGAAACACGGUCCAG